GUGACAUAAGAGAGGGAGGAAUUAUUUUGAUGGCUUUGUGAAGGAUGUUUGAGAGAGAGAGAGAGUGAGAGAGAGAGACUGAAAACUGGAAAUACAAUCAGGAAAUGGUAGCAUUAGUCAAGGCUUUAUAGCUCCAGUUUCUUCUUCAGUAACAUGGUUUGAAGUUCCUUCACCAUCUUGUGUGAUCUUCUCAUGGACAGAAAAGUGUGUUAACGUCCCUCCUAAAGUAGGUAACCAGAAUUGGACCAGCACUAAAAAAAUAAAGAUGAUAAUGAUGAAUUUUAACAACUGGCAUUUUAUAACACUUUAAGGUUUCCAGA
rnacentral:lncRNA from 1 species